GUACUUGCUAAAUGGGACCUGGUAUGGCUGUUCCUUGGAGGAUUGGACCGCAGCUGACCAAUGCAGAUGUGGAUGCUUGGAGCCAACAAUCAGAUCAGGCUCAGGGACCCCUGUAGGGGAGCAGCCUGAAGGACUGGAGGUGCAGAGGGGGAUUGCAAGCCCAUAGGAAGAACAACAUCUGCUGGCCAGACCACCCAGAGCUCCCAGAAACUAGACCACUAACCAAGGAGUGUACAGGAAGGGAUCCGUGUCUCCACAUAGGCUACAGAGAGGGGAAGAAUGAAAACCAUCAGAAACCCAGUGGUGCCAAUGGCCAGCCAGAGAACGAGCCCUGCCUGUGGCUCUCCUUCAGGACUCUGUGGGAUCUGGAGCUCCACACGUACUACCCUAGAACUCACUCUUCCCUACAGCAAUAAUUAGUCGUGUCAAGAUGACUACUCUGUGACAACGUGAUUUCAAUGAGGAAAAGUUGAAGAAUAAACUAUAAUUAUUUGGACAGUC
ensembl:lincRNA 4930441H08Rik RIKEN cDNA 4930441H08 gene